UUUUACAUUUUUCAUUGUAUAAGCUUUCCUUUUACUCUAUUUUAGAAAAGAAAAUAUAAUAUAUAGUUUCAUAGUUUGGUAUUGUAGGGAGGAAUUUAUGAAGAAUGAAUGGAUUUUAAUUAUUUGGAACUUUUGAGAAGCAUGUCAAACCAGGAUGUUUGUUCCUAUGAAAAAAUCUCUUAGAUGAAUGAAAAGGUUCAAUGCUCAUGUCUAACCUCAGAAUGUGACAUAUAGAAACUAAUUCAUUUUGGAAGGCAAGUCAAGUUGUGGCUAUUGUGAGUUCAUUAAUAGUACUAGUUUGUUACUUGUACAAUUAGUUCAGUUAGAUACCAAUAUUUUGCUUUAAUUAAUGUAUAGGUUGAGAUCCACCUUCCAAAACUAGCUAGCCCUUUGUUGGGCUUCCCUUUAAUUAGAUUUGUGGCCUUCUUCUUCAUCAUGUUCAUUUGAUGGACAAGAAGAAAUAUAUGUUUGUAUCUUAAUGAUGACGAUUGCCGAAAGCAGAUGAUUUUUGUAAUGAAUAUAUAAGUUUGACUCUUUUCGGAUUU